GAUGAACGCUGGCGGCGUGCCUAAUACAUGCAAGUCGAGCGAACAGACGAGGAGCUUGCUCCUCUGACGUUAGCGGCGGACGGGUGAGUAACACGUGGAUAACCUACCUAUAAGACUGGGAUAACUUCGGGAAACCGGAGCUAAUACCGGAUAAUAUAUUGAACCGCAUGGUUCAAUAGUGAAAGACGGUUUUGCUGUCACUUAUAGAUGGAUCCGCGCCGCAUUAGCUAGUUGGUAAGGUAACGGCUUACCAAGGCAACGAUGCGUUGCCGACCUGAGAGGGUGAUCGGCCACACUGGAACUGAGACACGGUCCAGACUCCUACGGGAGGCAGCAGUAGGGAAUCUUCCGCAAUGGGCGAAAGCCUGACGGAGCAACGCCGCGUGAGUGAUGAAGGUCUUCGGAUCGUAAAACUCUGUUAUUAGGGAAGAACAAAUGUGUAAGUAACUAUGCACGUCUUGACGGUACCUAAUCAGAAAGCCACGGCUAACUACGU
rnacentral:rRNA from 1 species